rnacentral:rRNA from 1 species
UGAGGAAUCUUCCGCAAUGGACGAAAGUCUGACGGAGCGACGCCGCGUGAAGGAUGAAGGCCUUAACUGGUUGUAAACUUCUGUUCUGAGGGACGAAAUUUUUGACGGUACCUCAGGAGAAAGUAUCGGCUAACCCUGUGCCAGCAGCCGCGGUAAGACAGGGGAUACAAGCGUUACUCGGAAUCACUGGGCGUAAAGCGUCUGUAGGUGUUCCGGAAAGUCUGAGGUAAAAGCUCAGGGCUUAACCCUGAGAGCGUCUCGGAAACUUCCGGAAUUGAGCAGUGGAGAGGCAUCUGGAAUGCCAUAUGUAGGAGUAAAAUCCGUAGAUAUAUGGUAGAACGCCAAAAGCGAAGGCAGGAUGCUAGCCACUUGCUGACACUGAGAGACGAAAGCGUGGGGAGCAAAGGGG